rnacentral:lncRNA from 1 species
AAAGUUGAUUUAACAACCCACUUAAGGUGGACUUAAAUAGGCUUUGAGAGAAAUUUAUUUCCCUUUCCUAGAAGGAUCUAAUUUCUUAUUAAAGAGAGAAUCUACAUCAAAACAGGAAGCAGUCCUAAGUUUCCUAAAAGCAAGGAAAUCUCUACACCUACUGCCUUUUCCUGCGAGCAGCCCAACAGGUGUGGGGGCAUUUGUGGAGCCAAAAAUAAUGACAAGGCGACACGUGGAUUUUUGGGUAAAAGAGAACAAAAAUACCCUUGAGGCAUACCGAGAUUCCUACGCGCGAGCGGCGGACAAUCAUCCUCAACCAAGUAAAAAAUGCUCCAAAAAAGGUAACCAAUUCCAAUUUAUCUCAUCCAUCCUCAUUAUAGGUAAUUACUUCACAACCUAUAAGUUAUCCCAUAAAAUAGAGAUUAAUUGGCUAAUUAAUGAAUUAAUUCCUAAUUAAUUCAUUAAUCACCAAAUUUAUCACCCAAUUAACCACAAAAUACAUCCAAUUCAACCCUAAAGCUAGUCAAAACCGGUCACCAUCCUUUCUCUUUACCUUUUUCCAUUUUUCCUUCUAUAUUAUCCCAUUUAUACAAAUUAAUCAAUUUGGUAACCACCAAUUUAUUCCUUUAGGGUUAAUUAGCCAAUAAAUUGGCUAAUUAAACCAAAAUUUCAACCUAAAAAUCCCCAUUAAGGCCGGCCAUUUCUUCUCAAAAAAUGGACAAGCCUAACCCUAUAAAUAGGUUCCUAUUUUCACCAAAAACUAAUUCCAACACUUUGGCAAAAAUCCCAAAAUUCUCUAAACACUCAUUCUCUCUAAAUUCUAAUUUUGGCAUCGGAGGUUCUUCGGCCAAAGCCC